GAUGGAAUUACUCCUAUAGAUCUGCCACAGAACAGCUGGAAAGGGAAGACGUGUCAGAAGUACAGGGGAUAAAGUUUAGAUAUGGCUGAAUCACAGCUGCUAAAGAACAUAGGAGAUGCGAUAGCAGAAGUGCUUCCGGACCUUCCUAAUCAACUUAAGUCUGUUGAAGAUACUUUGAAAACACUUGGUGCGGCAACCACAGAUGAUUUAAAGUACAUCACGGAAAACAAUUUGCUGCCAGUGUUAAAGCCCAUACAAGCCCGAAGACUGGUUGCUGCCUUGACCCAAAAUACAUCAUCCACCUCUACAUCAUCUUCAGGAAUCUGUACACCAUUAAUACCAAACUGGUUAGAGCAAUUUGAAAUACCAUGG